UACGGGGGGGGGUAAGCGUUGUUCGGAAUUACUGGGCGUAAAGGGCUCGUAGGCGGCCAACUAAGUCAGACGUGAAAUCCCUCAGCUUAACUGGGGAACUGCGUCUGAUACUGGAUGGCUUGGAUUCGGGAGAGGGAUGCGGAAUUCCAGGUGUAACGGUGAAAUGCGUAGAUAUCUGGAGGAACACCGGUGGCGAAGGCGGCAUCCUGGACCGAUAUUGACGCUGAGGAGCGAAAGCCAGGGGAGCAAACGGG
rnacentral:rRNA from 1 species